CAAGCUGGAUAGAUCAUCAUCCAUUCAUAACCGUACACUACUUAAGAACAGCAUCAACUACCUGUCUGAAUGUUCUGAACCCCAAGGGGACGUCAAUACACGUAUGACAGCAUCACUCCUAAUCGCUCAACAACAAAUAUUCAGCAAUGCAUACUAAUUUGAUUGAUUUAGGGAAACACACCUCUUAGCCCAACCAGGUGCCUGUAGGACUGUAGGAACUUCAUCUUCCCGGUGGACAUCUCGGACACCAGCGGCGACGCCUUUCAUCUCACACCUUUUGCCAUGUCUUCCUCACAACCUGCUUGUCCGCGCUCAUGGCUAGUCCCGCCGAUUGCUCGGCAGCCGGUACCAAACGAACCACUGUGAACGCUGCCGGUUCCAUCGGGGUUGCACUCUCAUCCAAUUCCUCCAGAAAGGGGAAUCUGCAACCCUCCAUUGCAAGAAAAAAAAGCAAGCAAUCAACAAAUCGCGAAUUAAAACACCAUGCUUCUAAAAACGAUACUGAUGUUACCUGCUCAUGGGUCGCAUCAGCAACUCCAUCACCGCCAAUGGAGUCGCCCCUCUCCACCCCUGUCGUCUCAGCAAUUCGACCCUUUUGACCAAAAACGAGUAAUAGAUCCUCAAAGUAUCAACCUAACCGAAAUUAAUUCUCUCCAUCUACACAAACCUGAAAGCGAACCUCCUGUGCCUUGGAUCAGCUUCCGUAGUUGUGCUCCUCAGGGUCUUCUGCUAUGUACUAAUCAUUGUCUUUGGACAGCAACAACAUGAUGAGAGCAAGGCAAUCGCAACGACACGACAUAGUGUUGUCAAACCCCGCCUUUCCCUGAAAAAAAAACACGAAAAAAGAUAGAACAUUUCAGCUAUAGCUCCUGCACAAAAUUAUUUGAAAUACUAACAAGUGUCAAAUCCUUAUUCCCAUACUGCACAGGGAAGGGGGGCAGCCCGGUGCAUGUAGGUCCUGCUUGCGCAGGGUCCGAGGAAGGGUCCGACCACUUUGGGUCUAUAGUACGCAACCUUACCCUACAUUUCUGUAAGAGGCUGUUUCCAAGACUUGAACCUGUGACCUCAUGGUCACAAGGCAGCAGUUUUACCACUGCGCCAAGGCUCCCCUUCUAUUCCCAUACUGCACAGCCGCAAACAAUUUCCUGCAUGCAUUUUGUCCUCUCCAUAUUUAGCCUACUUUUGUCGUAUCUAAUGCCAAAUCAUUUAUCCACAAAUAUAGGUUAUAGAAGUCGUAUGCUUCACCCAGAGAAUCAAAGGUUGUACCCAAAGUUGGCACUAUGACAUUGUCCCCAAGAUUGUCGGCAAAACCAUGGAUAGCCUUCUCCAGAGCAGUAGUCCGGUUAGGACAUGGCAUCCUUACUGGGACAGCAGCACCUACUCUCACCCUGCAACCACCCACAAACAGAUAUGAGUUUCAUGUAUAGUUUCACACAAAGCACUCGCCAAAAUUUCCAAGCACCCAACACAUCAGUUUUUUGCAGUGUCACCGUGCUCGAACAGUAACAAUUUCGUUCCAUCUAUGUUACUUUUGGUUCAGCUGCACAAUCAACUCCGGAACGACACACAGAUCCUUCCGUUUCCUACAAUUUUCUGCGUUUGACAUGCUACAGCGUCCUUUCGCAUCAAUUCAGCGGCUACGUGUGCAUUCCUUCAAACCACAAAUCAUGCAAUGUCCAUUACAAUGUCUGCUCAAGCAUCCCUGCUUAACUUACACUAGUUCUGAAUUUCACCAAAUUUCAUUAACAGUUCAGUCAAGCCUGCACCUAUAUUUACAAGGAGACACGCCUGUAACUUUCCCUAGAAGUUCAGGCAAUACAAACAUAGCAAUUUAUCCUUUCAAUUUUUUUGCAUGAUCACACUAUUUCAAAUCAUGCCAUCAUAGUUGGUUCCCAAAAAUUUUGUGGAUCUGCAGAACUGCCAUACCUUCUUUUCCGGCCAGGAGCUCUAGGGUCGGUCUAUCCAAUUGACUGCUCCGACGCUCUUGUGGACCCUUCUUGUGCAUCCAUUGCCCCUUCCGCCGCAUGGAUCUGGCCGUCCGCACUUACUUCCACCAUAGCUGCCAGCGGCUCCUCAGCCGGCCGCGCCACUAGGUAGUGCAGCGGCUGCAUCAGAAUAUCGCUGUCAUUUGCCUGUUCAAGCACGGCUGUCCUACGCACCCAAAUUGGCCACAAAAGGUUUCAUCUCAGCAAGCACCAUCCAAAAUCACGCGCCAAAAAAUACAAAGGGGACAUAUUGCGCACCUCUUAAUCGGCGUCCACCGGUUCCGUUCGCCCGGUCGCCCGCGAGAAUCGCAGCAGAGCUCCGCCGCUUCGGCAAGUGACUAAUCAAGGCGGCGUAGGUAGGAGACGACCCUGAG
rnacentral:lncRNA from 1 species